CAGCAGCCGCGGUAAUACGUAGGGGGCGAGCGUUACCCGGAUUCACUGGGCGUAAAGGGGGUGUAGGCGGCUCGGUAAGUCGGGUGUGAAAUCCCACGGCUCAACCGUGGAAUUGCGCCCGAAACUGCCGAGCUUGGGGCCGGUAGAGGGAGACGGAACUGCCGGUGUAGGGGUGAAAUCCGUAGAUAUCGGCAGGAACGCCGGUGGGGAAGCCGGUCUCCUGGGCCGCGCCCGACGCUGAGGCCCGAAAGCUAGGGGAGCAAACCGGAUUAGAUCCCCGGGUAGUCCUAGCCGUAAACGAUGCCCACUAGGUGUGGGGGAGUAUUUCCUCCGUGCUGGAGCUAACGCGUUAAGUGGGCCGCCUGGGGAGUACGCCCGCAAGGGUGAAACUUAAAGGAAUUGGCGGG
rnacentral:rRNA from 1 species